UGGGGAAUAUUGCACAAUGGGGGAAACCCUGAUGCAGCGACGCCGCGUGAGCGAAGAAGGCGUUCGAGUAGAAAAGCUCUGUCCUAUGAGAAGAUAACGACGGUAUCAUAGGAGGAAGCCCCGGCGAAAUACGUGCCAGCAGCCGCGGUAAGACGUAUGGGGCGAGCGUUGUCCGGAAUUAUUGGGCGUAAAGGGUACGUAGGCGGUCUAUUAAGUCAGGUGUGAAAGCGUGAGGCUUAACCUCAUUAAGCACUUGAAACUGAUAGACUUGAGUGAAGGAGAGGAAAGUGGAAUUCCUAGUGUAGCGGUGAAAUGCGUAGAUAUUAGGAGGAAUACCGGUGGCGAAGGCGACUUUCUGGACUUUUACUGACGCUCAGGUACGAAAGCGUGGGGAGCAAACAGG
rnacentral:rRNA from 1 species